rnacentral:lncRNA from 1 species
CAUUUUCCUAACUCUCAACUACUAGUCUAUGUACUAUACUUUUGUCUUCUACAUUCUUCUACCAUGUGUUUAUAAACAAGUGCAGCCCAAACAUAGAUCUACUCAACACUUGGCGCACCACAAUGGCUCACCACUGGCAUCCCCCACCUCCACCAGACCCCUUUGCACCCCCACCACCUGGACCUCCGGCAACACCUCCACCAGACCCCUUUGCUCCACCACCGCCAGGGCAUCCGGCACCACCUAUGUUUGGGCAGCCUCUACCGCCUAACACUUCUGCACCAGCACCACCUAUUCCGCACAAUCCGCCAGCACCUCAGUUUGGGCAGCCUCCACCUCCUCCAGGUCCAGGAGGACCUCCUCCACCACCCCCAUAUUAGCCUAUAGCAUAAAAUUUUGAUUAGAUUCUUAUAGGAUUGUAACAAUAAAUAAGAGAGUAUAUAUUGUUAUGUUGAAUGUUGGAAGUGCAUGAGAGUGAAAUAAUAAUCUUUAUGUUACAAUAAAUGAGUCGGUGGUUGUUGCUCACAAAUUUCUCACACCCAAAUUCAAAAUAUAAGAAAUAAUUACUGCCAACUUAUCAUUUUGUAUUUGAUUUAUGUCAUGUGUUGUUUGGAACGUAACCAACCCUGAUGCAAGUCAGUUUUUAUUUGAUUCCCUUCACUUGUGUAACCUAUCAAAUAUCAAGAAAUUAUUAAAAUAUUUCUUUUGCCUAAUAAAUUAUAUUGUUAUGGGAUAUAUUCAUCUUUUACAUAAACCUAAUAAAUUUUACUAUUUCAACAGGAAUUUCAGUUAAUUUUUGUAUGAAUUUUUAAAUAUAUUUUUAACAUAAUUUCUGUAAUGGCCCAAAUUUGCCCGACCCAAAUCAGAAGUAAAUAAACAAUAAAUAUAAAAUCAAAAUUAAAAGUCAAAAAACAUUCCCUUUACACUGGGCUCAAUAUGGCCCAAACUAAACACAACCCACUACCCAAAAUCAAAUUACCCAAUACACCCCAGCCUAACUAGCCAAAACCCAAAACCCACUAAAAUCCAAACCAGCUAACCCUAGCCCAAUAUUGGAGGCCCAACAACUUACCCUAGCUGAGAAAGGAACCCUAGACAGUAAACUCCAGUGCUGCAGCAGAGCCAGGCCUCCUCUCGUGCAUGCGCCGCCACACCUUCGAGCCGCAAUCAACCUCUGGCCUCGCAUGCGCGCCACUGCCACUCGCGCUGCGCCGAGCCGCGCCACGUCCCAGCUAGCCUUCGUACGACACCUGCAAGGGACAAACAAACGCAACAGACGCAAAGGAGGGGCCAGCAACAGCAGAAAAUACAAACGAAAAAUGCAGCAGAGAGGAAAAGAAAAACGGAUCGCAUUUUUGGAUUUUGUUUUUUAUUAUUAUUGUUAUUUCGAAUAGGGGGUUAUAAAACAAAAGAAAAAACCCUUUGAGAGGGGGAACUGUAUCAGAAACAGAGAAUAUCAAUAAAAGAGAAAAAUUGAAAGAGGUGAGGGGAUUUUUCCCUUUUCUGCAUCUUUCGUUUUUUUAAAAUGGUUUUUUUUCUGUUCGUCCAUUUUUUUUAUAUACAUAUGCACAUAAAAAAGAGGAGAAAUAGAGAGAGAGAAGGGACGAACGUACCUGGUGGUCGAUCUUUCGCUCCUUCCGUCGCGAUCGGAAACGGGUGAGGAAUCGGGACCCCCAGACGUUAGUCCGUCGAGCGGCGCGCAGAGGGGGUUUCUAGCUUAGGGUUUGCGGGUUUGCUGAGUGGCUUAGUCCUUGUUUUUAGGGUUUUAUGCGUGAUAUAAAAACGGCGUCGUUUAGUGGCCUUUUGACCCGCGCGGUGACCCGACCCGAGGGAAGGAUCCGCGAGUUUCAUCUCAAUGGUCUAUUUCGCAAUGAGCCCCUCUUCAUUUUGUGUUGUUUCAAAUUUGAUUUUCAUUAAUUUUUUAAUUUGUAUUGCACAUUUGGUCUCGAUUUCAAAUGGAUCCGCGUUCAAACGGUGCU